rnacentral:lncRNA from 1 species
UCUCUUCCUGAUACUUCUUACAUUGAACCCUUGCUUAUUUUUGGGCGAACUAUGAUGUGACUAAUAACAAAAUAGCAAUAGGAUAUAUUGGCAUCUUCAUUGUUUCUGAAGUCUGAACUUAAAACACGUGACAUUAAAAAUUAGAACAGUACUUCUAACGUUGAACUCUUACUUUGUUUUGGGAGAACUAUGAUAUGAAUAAUAACAGAACAGCAAUAGGAUAUAUUGGCAUCUUCAUUGUUUCUGUAGUCUGAUUUAUAAUAGGUGAUAUUAAAGAGUUAUCAGAAGAGUUGCUUCGAGAGCACGAUGAGUCUUACAUAGAUAAUGAACUGCAAUUCUUAUUUAAGGAGAAUGCAUGAGUAAGAACCAUGUUAUUAGAUUAAUAAUCAUCAAAAUAAAUGGCAAGUUAGCUUAAUGUCCUGCUUACCUAAUAUCACUCCCUCUGUGG